rnacentral:rRNA from 1 species
GUGAGGAAUAUUGGUCAAUGGGCGCAAGCCUGAACCAGCCAUCCCGCGUGAAGGACGACGGCCCUAUGGGUUGUAAACUUCUUUUGUACGGGAAGCACGUGCGCUAUGUAUAGCGUAUUGACGGUACCGUACGAAUAAGCAUCGGCUAACUCCGUGCCAGCAGCCGCGGUAAUACGGAGGAUGCGAGCGUUAUCCGGAUUCAUUGGGUUUAAAGGGUGCGUAGGCGGCCCGGUAAGUCAGCGGUGAAAGUUUGCGGCUCAACCGUAAAAUUGCCGUUGAUACUGUCGGGCUUGAGUUCAGAUGAAGUGGGCGGAAUGAGUAGUGUAGCGGUGAAAUGCUUAGAUAUUACUCAGAACACCGAUUGCGAAGGCAACCCACUAAACUGCGACUGACGCUGAUGCACGAAAGCGUGGGGAUCGAACAGGAUUAGAUACCCCAGUAGUCC